GCUUACGGCCAUACCACCCUGAGAACGCCCGAUCUCGUCUGAUCUCGGAAGCUAAGCAGGGUCGGGCCUGGUUAGUACUUGGAUGGGAGACCCCCUGGGAAUACCAGGUGCUGUAAGUU
ensembl:rRNA 5S_rRNA 5S ribosomal RNA